AAAACUUUUAAAUUAGUCCAGAGAGGCUAGUAAGGGUAUAUAAGUACUUUUGUGCACUCGUAUGGGAUUAGGGAUGUACAGAGGUAUGGGGAAUAGUUUGUCACUAUUUGAUGAAACCCGACCUUGCUGCGCCAACAGGCAGUAAGGUUUUUUUAUU
rfam:[Clostridium] hungatei strain DSM 14427 CLHTN_contig000001, whole genome shotgun sequence.